rnacentral:rRNA from 1 species
UACGGAGGAUGCAAGCGUUAUCCGGAAUGAUUGGGCGUAAAGCGUCCGCAGGUGGCUGUGUAAGUCUGCUGUCAAAGAGCAAAGCUCAACUUUGUAAAGGCAGUGGAAACUACACGGCUAGAGUGCGUUCGGGGCAGAGGGAAUUCCUGGUGUAGCGGUGAAAUGCGUAGAGAUCAGGAAGAACACCGGUGGCGAAGGCGCUCUGCUAGGCCGCAACUGACACUGAGGGACGAAAGCUAGGGGAGCGAACAGG